rnacentral:rRNA from 1 species
UUGACCUCAAAUCAGGUAGGACUACCCGCUGAACUUAAGCAUAUCAAUAAGCGGAGGAAAAGAAACUAACAAGGAUUCCCCUAGUAACUGCGAGUGAAGCGGGAAAAGCUCAAAUUUUAAAUCUGGCAGU